rnacentral:lncRNA from 1 species
UGGUCCUUUAGAAAUUGGAUUGAAAAGAAGCAUCACCAUAAUCUAAUUCUGAACUCUUCAUCUUUUAUUUUAUAAAAUCAAGCUGGUAGCUUGGGAAGAAAAACGAGUGGUUGCCCUUUUUCUUCCACCGGAUUGAUUUACUAACCCCAUUUACUGUAAUCAAACUUGAGAAUACCAGUCUUUUCUUUUAGGGACAUUAUGAUCAGGUGACAACUGAAUUUGGAGUCUUUCCUCAAAGGAAAUCAGGAGAAAAGUUAAUAAAGAAAAGAUUAUUUUCGGCUAAUCACAGUAGAGAAGAAAGAAAUUACCACUAGGAUGUAUCCUGAACAAGCUAAAAUUAAUUCACACUGCUUAACACCACGUCUUUUGUAGCUUUUUUCCCCACUGCUCAGGAAACACCCCACUGAUGCAGAGGUCUGAAAGCUGGUAGUUUUCAUUAUCUAAAAGACAACCAAGAACCAAUAAGCAAGCAAAAAAGGCAUUUGACAGAACGUAACAAGUGUUGGCGAGGAUGUGGAGAAAUUGGAACCUUUGUGCGCUGUUGGUGGGAAUAUAAAACGGUGCUACUGCUAUGGAAAACAGUAUGGAAGUUCCUCAAAAAAUUAAGAAUACAAUUACUACGUGUUCCAGCAAUCCAGUAUAUACUCAAAAGAAUUGAAAGCAAGGAGUGAAAGAGAUAUUUUUACACCCAUGUUCAUAGCAGCAUUAUUCACAAAAGCCAAAACGUGGGAGCAACCCACAUGUCUAUCAACAGAUGAAUGGAUGGACACAUUGUGGUAGACACGUACAAAGGAAUAUUAUUUAGCCUUAAAAAGGAAAGAAAUUCUGACACAUGCUUCAACAUGCAUGAACCUAGAGGAUAUUAUGUUUAGUGACAUAAGCCAGUCACAAAGGGCCAAAUACUGUAUGAUUCCACUUAUAUGAGGUACCUAGAGUAGACAAAUUCAUAGAGACAGAAAAAUAGAACAGGUGGUUGCCAAGGGCUGGAAGGAAGGGGAAAAGGGGAGUUACUGUUUAAUGGGUACAGAGUUUCAGUUUGGGAAGGUGAAAAGAGUUCUGGAGAUGGAUGGUGGUGAUGGUUGCACAACACUGUGAAUGUACUUAAUGCCACUGAACUGUACAGUGAAAAUUGAUUAAGAUGGUAAAUUUCAUGUUAUGUGUGUUUCACCACAACUAAAAAGAAUAAUUAAAAAAAC